GAUGAACGCUGGCGGCGUGCCUAAUACAUGCAAGUCGAGCGAACGGACGAGAAGCUUGCUUUUCUGAUGUUAGCGGCGGACGGGUGAGUAACACGUGGAUAACCUACCUAUAAGACUGGGAUAACUUCGGGAAACCGGAGCUAAUACCGGAUAAUAUUUUGAACCGCAUGGUUCAAAAGUGAAAGACGGUCUUGCUGUCACUUAUAGAUGGAUCCGCGCUGCAUUAGCUAGUUGGUAAGGUAACGGCUUACCAAGGCAACGAUGCAUAGCCGACCUGAGAGGGUGAUCGGCCACACUGGAACUGCGACACGGUCCAGACUCCUACGGGAGGCAGCAGUAUGCAAUCUUCCGCAACGGGCGAAAGCCUGACGGAGCAACGCCGCGUGAGUGAUGAAGGUCUUCGGAUCGUAAACCUCUGUUAUUAGGGAAGAACAUAUGUGUAAGUAACUGUGCACAUCGUGACGGUACCUAAUCAGAAAGCCACGGCUAACUACGUU
rnacentral:rRNA from 1 species